UACGGAGGGUGCGAGCGGUAAUCGGAAUUACUGGGCGUAAAGCGUGCGCAGGCGGCUUCGCAAGUCAGACGUGAAAUUCCCGGGCUAAACUUGGGAAUAGCGUUUGAAACUACGAGGCUAGAGUGUGGCAGAGGGAGGUGGAAUUCCAAGUGUAGAGGUGAAAUGCGUAGAGAUUUGGAGGAACACCGAUGGCGAAGGCAGCCUCCUGGGCCAAUACUGACGCUUAUGCACGAAAGCGUGGGUAGCAAACAGG
rnacentral:rRNA from 1 species